rnacentral:rRNA from 1 species
AACGAACGCUGGCGGCAUGCCUAACACAUGCAAGUCGAACGAGACCUUCGGGUCUAGUGGCGCACGGGUGCGUGACGCGUGGGAACCUGCCCUUAGGUUCGGAAUAACUCCCCGAAAGGGGUGCUAAUACCGGUUAAUGUCUUAGGACCAAAGAUUUAUCGCGUUUGGAUGGGCCCGCGUUGGAUUAGCUAGUUGGUAGGGUAAAAGCCUACCAAGGCGACGAUGCAUAGCUGGUCUGAGAGGAUGACCAGCCACACUGGGACUGAGACACGGCCCAGACUCCGACGGGAGGCAGCAGUGGGGAAUAUUGGACAAUGGGCGAAAGCCUGAUCCAGCAAUGCCGCGUGAGUGAUGAAGGCCUGAGGGUUGUAAAGCUCUUUUACCCGGGAUGAUAAUGACAGUACCGGGAGAAUAAGCUCCGGCUAACUCCGUG